AGCUCCAAUAGCGUAUAUUAAAGUUGUUGCGGUUAAAAAGCUCGUAGUUGGAUCUCGGCGGCCUGAGGACGGUUCGCUUUAUUGAGUGCUAUUGCUCUAUAGGCCGUUUUUUUGCAAGAUGUCUCUGGGUGCUCUUAAGCUGGUGUCCUGCGAUGCUGGCAGGUUUACUUUGAAAAAAUUAGAGUGCUCAAAGCAGGCUUUUACGCCUGAAUAUUCGUGCAUGGAAUAAUAGAAUAGGAAGUCGUUUAUCUUUUGUUGGUUUUCGGAAAUCGACGUAAUGAUUAAUAGGGACAGUCGGGGGCAUUUGUAUUCAAACGCCAGAGGUGAAAUUCUUGGACCGUUUGAAGACAAACUACUGCGAAAGCAUUUGCCAAGAAUGUUUUCA
rnacentral:rRNA from 1 species